UGUCUUCGGGGCGGGGUGCAAUUCCCCACCGGCGGUAAUCCGGCCUUGGCCGGCGAGCCCGCGACCUGUGUAUUGCACAGCUGAUUCCGGUGUGAUUCCGGAGCCGACGGUUACAGUCCGGAUGGAAGAAGGC
rnacentral:ncRNA from 1 species